rnacentral:misc_RNA from 1 species
UCCGAGUUGACCCCGGCAGUCUCCCAUGAGUCCCCGGCAUAACCCGCUGGCAACAUGGAACGAGGGUUGCGCUCGUUGCGGGACUUAACCCAACAUCUCACGACACGAGCUGACGACAGCCAUGCACCACCUGCACACCAGCCACAAGGGAACGCCUAUCUCUAGACGCGUCUAGUGCAUGUCAAACCCAGGUAAGGUGGGGAUGACGUGCCAAGGUUGGUU